rnacentral:lncRNA from 1 species
AAGUGCUGGGUUUACAGGCGUGAGCCACUGCACCUGGCAGGAAUUUUUCAACUCCAUCAUAAUCUUAUGAACCCACCGUCAUAUAUAUGGUCUGUGAUUGACUGAAAUAUCGUUAUGUGGCAGAUGAGUGUAUUUACUCCAUGGCUCUAAUUCUUUGUUAACUCCUAUGACUUCACUUUCAGAACAAGCUCCGUGAGAGCAGGACAGUAGGUGUUCAACAGAUAUGUAUUAAAUGAAGGGAAGGAGAAAAUGGGGAAAAAGAGGUCCUUAGAAAUCCAAGCUAGCUAACAUCUCAAGGAGUUUCCCGUUGCAAAAUAGGGAUCUUAUAAAGAAGAGUUUGGAGGGUGGCCAGGAGAAGGGCAACAAAGGGAAAGCUCUCCUUGAAGGUGCAGCUUGCUUCUUUCUUCCUUUCUUUCUCUUUCUCUUCUUUCUUUUUCUUUCUUUCUUUCUUUCUUCUCUGUUUCUUUCUUUUCUUUUUCUUUCUCUUCUUUAUUUUCUUCUUUCUCUUUAAUUCUCUCUCUCUCUCUCUCUCAUAUUUGAGACAGAGACUCACUGUGUCAUCCAGGUUGGAGUGCAGUGGUGCAAUCUUGGCUCACUGCAACCUCUACCUCCCAGGCUCAUGCAAUCCUACCUCAGCCUGCCAAGUAGCUGGGACCACAGGCGCAUGCUACCACGCCUGGCUGAUUUUGUAUGUGUGUGUGUUUUUUGGUAGAGAUGGAGUUUUGCCGUGUUGCCCAGGCUGGUCUCAAACUGGGCUCAAGCUAUCCACCAGUUUCAGCUUCCCAAAAUGCUGGCCUGAACAUGCAGCUUUCUGAUAAGCCUUGUCUCUAACCAGUACACCCACUGUUCUCAUCCUCCCCUGUUCUUGGGAAUGGGCCCGGAACUGCUGCACAAAGCUACAAGGACACUGAUGAGACCAUGGAUCUGCUGCUGUUCUCUAGGGAAGACUUGGCUUGGAGUGUGGCUGCCUGGAUUCGAAAGUGUGUCCUUGACUCCAUGGAGUAAUUCUUGUAGUUUUGCCUGGAAUUGAGCAGCGAAUCAGACACAUGAGGCUGCCUGCUCCCAGAGAUGCUUUUCCUCCUGUUUGAGCUGUAUGAGCCCCGCGAGCCAAGGAAGGAUUGUAGAGAAAUUAAUGUGUCCAGAGAGAGUUGAGCCCUACCCAAUGGGAGAGUUAACCAGAAGGGUUUGUGGCCCCUCAUCCCUGGUAUCAUGGCCACUGGAACCACUCCUGGUCCUCCUGGGUUCCUAAGCUUGAAGGGGUGGUUUUAGGGAAUAGACCCCUACCCUGGAAGGCAGGAGGCAUGGGUCCUCACACAGCCAUGCAGUUGGCUUCUGAUGUGACCUUGGGAACUUACUUCCUGCCUCUGGGAGUCUAACUGCGCAUUUAUACAUUAAGAAAGAAGUCUUCCUAUGACAGGCGAGAGCUGGAUUCCGAGGGACACAGGUCCACCCUCUAGACUGCCAGACUGGCCUUGCUAGCAACUCCACUCACUGCUCUCUGGGCAACUCUGUCCCCAGCCAGCUCCUGAGCUGAGUUCAGAGGGAGCAAAGGACAGACUGAGGUUACCCAAGCCUUACUUGGCAGAUUCCAAAAGUUUGAUGGCCUCUUCGUUUCUGUCUUGCUCCAUAAGCAGCAGGGCCAGCUCCAGCAGGGCGUUUGGGAUCAAGUAGUGGUCAUAUUUAAUCUUCUUUUCACUGCAGAACAGAGGACAUGGCUCAGGUUCCUCCUCCUGAGCCUCUCCCAAACUGCAUGUGAGGAUUUCCUAACCCGAACUCCAAUUUUGGGAGGUUCCCACUACCCAGCCCUAGAAAGGCUGGGAUCCAUAGCAAAGCCUUCCCAUCCUGUACCUUGGGCUCCAGCUCCCUGACAACCUAUGGCUCCUGUCAUGUCCUUAGUCCACCGCCACCUAAGUCCCGACCUCCCUUUCUCCAGGUUGAAUGGUUUAUUAAACUGUAAAGUCUCCUGUCUCUGAUCUACCCUCUCUGACCCGACCUCCAUGCUGUCCUGGAGAUAUCCUUUUAAACCCCAAGUCCUCCUUGCCCGGUACCCUUUCUGGCUGUCUUCUUUGGGAUACAAUUUAGCCUUGUGAACAAAACAUCCAGGCCCUUCUCAUUCUAUCCCUCCUUUUUCAUCUUCAAUCUUUUCUCUCUAUGACUUCACCCAGGCAGGUAAAGACCCCAUCACCGUCACCCCAGCCUCAGAUGUCUUUCCUGUGUCCAUGCACUGGUGCAUGCUGUACUUACUCCACUUCAAACCUGUCCUCCCUUGCUUUCUCUGCCUGAUGAACUUCCCACUUUCAACAUCAGCCUUGGAAAGCCUUUCCUGGUAUCUCCCAUUAAGUUUAGGUCCCUUCUUGGGGCACCUGCUGUCCUCUCCG